rnacentral:rRNA from 1 species
UACGUAGGGAGCAAGCGUUGUCCGGAUUUAUUGGGCGUAAAGAGCUCGUAGGCGGCUUAGAAAGUCAGGUGUGAAACCUCCAGGCUCAACCUGGAGACGCCACUUGAUACUUCUAUGGCUCGAGUUCGGUAGGGGAUCACGGAAUUCCUGGUGUAGCGGUGAAAUGCGCAGAUAUCAGGAGGAACACCGAUGGCGAAGGCAGUGAUCUGGGCCGAUACUGACGCUGAGGAGCGAAAGCGUGGGGAGCAAACAGG